rnacentral:rRNA from 1 species
UGACCGUAGCGCUACUUUUUAACACGCAUUUUGGGUUCCAGUGCUCGUCUCUAGGCUCACAGUCUCGCGGUUACCGGCUGUGCAUUAAUUUGGGGGAGCUGCUGGCCAUCUGGCGUGGGUGGAUAUUGGAGGAGAGGAGAGGCGGGGUGGAGCGUCUCGGCGGCGGACACUGGCUGGCCUCUCGGUCUGCUGUUUGGCUCGGGUGGCGUGGGUGUGGUCGUGGUCGUGGUCGUGGUUGAGGAGGAGGAGGAGAACGCGCCGACGUCGACGGCCGGUACAGCCACCUCUGCCUCGCCUCGAGGUGCCUCAGGAGGCGGCGGAGCCCGGAGCUGAAGCUCCUGUGGCGGGAUUGGGAGGCGGAGGGGCCGAGGCUGGGGCUGGCGUUCGCGCGGAGGUGGAGGCUGGGGCUGACGGGGAGGGGCUGGCGGCGGCGGAGGCUGAGAGGGGGAAGGGGGUUCCGCGUCCACCACCCGACCGGUGGCCACGCCAGCAAGGCCUUCUUGCGGGAGCGCCGGCGCCGGAGCAGGUUCUGGUUCAAGCAGUUCCACCGGCAGCUGCCGCGCGGGAUGGACGCGUUCCAGCUGGAGUUCCGAAUGCGCCCGAUGUGUUCGAGACGGAGGAUGCUGGUCGAGGAGCGGUGCGAGGUCCUGUUCAAGUAGAGGGUGGAGUGGCAGGCGUUCGAACCCUUGCUCCUCUACUUCGAGCACCUGCGCCACUCGCCCUGCCUCAUACACGGCUGCAUGCUCCUGUUCCUGCCGCUGACCUACGAGCAGCCUCUGCAGGGGACCUCUUACAAACACCUUUGGACAGUCGCGUAAGCAGAGUACUUUUCGAGACUCCAGCAGUUAGAUCGUGGUUCUCGACCAGCCACUCCGUGUUAGGAACGAGGAAAAAGAUGUCUGGCGAAGUCUCCUUCUUUACAGAAACGAGUCACUCCAAGAAGGCGUUCAAAGGCUCUCUCUUUACACAUGUCGGUAGAGAUGAAAAACGGGUCGUGCGAUAACUCAAGUCUUUCACAGCAUCGAACAUUAAGGUGAUGGUCAGUCAGUCAUCAUAGAUGUACAUUCUACCUCUCCAACACUACGAAGUCUUUAUGUGGACGUCAAGCAAGAACUUUUUAUUCUGACGUCAGGGACAAGAGGGCUCGACGAACGAUGACCUCGUACCAAAACACAUUGAAAUACGUUCACUCCGUGGACCAUGUUCUCAGUAUAUUACGCAGUUAAAAGGAUGUUCAAAACACGACACUAAAACGAUAUAAUACAUGAGGAAGGCAAUGAUUUAUAUUCAGAAAGAUCUAUGACGUAA